rnacentral:rRNA from 1 species
CCUACGGGCGGCAGCAGUGGGGAAUAUUGCACAAUGGGGGAAACCCUGAUGCAGCGACGCCGCGUGAGUGAAGAAGUAAUUCUUUAUGUAAAGCUCUAUCAGCAGGGAAGAAAAUCACGGUACCUGAGUAAGAAGCCCCGGCUAACUACGUGCCAGCCGCCGCGGUCAUCCGUAGGGGGCAAGCGUUAUCCGGAUUUACUGGGGGUAAAGGGGGCGUAGACGGCAGUGCAAGUCUGGAGUGAAAGGCGGGGGCUCAACCCCCGGACUGCUCUGGAAACUGUACGGCUGGAGUGCAGGAGAGGUAAGUGGAAUUCCUAGUGUAGCGGUGAAAUGCGUAGAUAUUAGGAGGAACACCAGUGGCGAAGGCGGCUUACUGGACUGUAACUGACGUUGAGGCUCGAAAGCGUGGGGAGCAAACAGGAUUAGAUACCCUGGUAGUC